rnacentral:rRNA from 1 species
GGCCAGACUCCUACGGGAGGCAGCAGUGGGGGAUAUUGCACAAUGGGGGGAACCCUGAUGCAGCGACGCCGCGUGGGUGAAGAAGUAUUUCGGUAUGUAAAGCCCUAUCGGCAGGGAAGAAAUUGGACGGUACCUGACUAAGAAGCCCCGGCUAACUACGUGCCCGCAGCCGCGGUAAUACGUAGGGGGCAAGCGUUAUCCGGAUUCACUGGGUGUAAAGGGGGCGCAGACGGCGAUGCAAGUCAGGAGUGAAAGCCCGGGGCCCAACCCCGGGACUGCUCUUGGAACUGCGUGGCUGGAGUGCAGGAGGGGCAGGCGGAAUUCCUGGUGUAGCGGUGAAAUGCGUAGAUAUCAGGAGGAACACCGGCGGCGAAGGCGGCCUGCUGGACCGUGACUGACGUUGAGGCUCGAGAGCGUGGGGAGCAAACAGGAUUAGAUACCCGUGUACAU